CUCACAGUGACACUGAUCUGGUAACGCCCCCGUCCUGGUCUGACCCUGCCAUGGGCACCAGGCUCCUCUGCUGGAUGGUCCUGGGUUUCCUAGGGACAGAUCACACAGGUGCUGGAGUCUCGCAGUCCCCAAGGUACAAAGUCACGAAGAGGGGACAGGAUGUAGCUCUCAGGUGUGAUCCAAUUUCGGGUCAUGAUUACCUUUACUGGUACCAACAGGCCCCUGGGCAGGGCCCAGCGUUUCUGACUUACUUCCAGAAUGAUGCUCAACUAGACAAAUCAGGGCUGCCCAAUGAUCGGUUCUCUGCAGAGAGGCCUGAGGGAUCCAUCUCUACUCUGAAGAUCCAGCGCACAGAACAGGGGGACUCAGCCGUGUAUCUCUGUGCCAGCAGCUUAGCCACAGCGUGGCACGGUCACCUCCUUCCUGUUCACAAACCUCGUCCUUCUCUCUCCUUGCAGCUACUAGAGACCCUUAGUAGAGGCCUCUCUUUCUUCCUUACUUUUCAUGGGAAAGGAGUAGAUUUGGACAUCGGCUGUCCUUUGGGUAGAAAGAGACCACAGAUUCAUUCCUGAAACACAGUGACUACAAAUGUAAGUGGUGAAAACA